rnacentral:snRNA from 1 species
AAAUUUGAGUACGGAUCCUGUGUUUAAUACCAACUGGGCAGGUGUCCCCUUCCUCCCUCACCGCUCCCUGUGCAUCCUUCCCAAAGCUGCGCACUCCGUGGAAGAGGACAGCCUUCCCCAAAUAGAGACAGACCAGUCUUUGGUCAAGAGGUGUAAGAGUAGCUGUGUUCCCCUGCUAGAACCCCCAAGCAAGCUCUCAUAGUACAGUUGAAACAUUCUAAGGUAUAGUAGGCUAUCUCCUACUUCCUCACAGAAGAAUGCAUUCUUU